rnacentral:rRNA from 1 species
AACGAACGCUGGCGGCAUGCCUAACACAUGCAAGUCGAACGAGACCUUCGGGUCUAGGGGCGCACGGGUGCGUAACGCGUGGGAACCUGCCCUUAGGUUCGGAAUAACUCCCCGAAAGGGGUGCUAAUACCGGAUAAUGUCUUCGGACCAAAGAUUUAUCGCCUUUGGAUGGGCCCGCGUUGGAUUAGCUGGUUGGUAGUGUAAAAGCCUAGCAAGGCGACGAUCCAUAGCUGGUCUGAGAGGAUGAUCAGCCACACUGGGACUGAGACACGGCCCAGACUCCUACGGGAGGCAGCAGUGGGGAAUAUUGGACAAUGAGCGAAAGCCUGAUCCAGCAAUGCCGCGGGAGUGAUGAAGGCCGUAGGGUUGUAAAGCUCUUUUACCCGGGAUGAUAAUGACAGUACCGGGAGAAUAAGCUCCGGCUAACUCCGUG